rnacentral:pre_miRNA from 1 species
GUCUGUUCACGUUCACAACAACUUCGAGCGCUCUGCUUAAUAUGUUGACUGGCAAGAGCUUGAAUGUUGUUGUGAAUGUGAGUCAGAC